rnacentral:misc_RNA from 1 species
GUGCUUAUCCUCAUCAGUCACUAUCCGUCUAGCAGGCUCCAACUUGACCUUAUUGUCAUUUGGUGCAACUUUCUUCUUUUUUGCAGGAUGUGUACCCAUAUUUGUUUCCAUUUCCUUAGCAACACCAGCUCUUGGAGGCACCAACUCCACAUUAAUGGUCACAGGAAGCUUCUUCUCUAUAGCUUUCCAUCUCGCUUCAAAAUAUUUACUUAGUGUCUCAGCCAUGAAAUGAAAAUCAUUGCCUGGCGGGUUGUACUUCAUUGAAUUUGAGAAAGUUAAUCGCACAUCUGCAGCAAACUCCAGUGGACUUGAAUAUGCACCUGAAGCAAUCUUGCUCUUCACCGUGCCCAAAUCCAUUGGAUUUUUAAUGACAGUGAAAUAAUCUGGUAUGUUCAACUUGACCACAUCAACUGGUGCAUUGAAAACCCAACCAAAUUGAUGUGCCAUCAUACGGUUUAGCAAGGUUUCACACUGUUU